rfam:Myotis brandtii contig268446, whole genome shotgun sequence.
GGAGGUUCUCAGGUGACAAACCCCAGAAUCAGGCUCCCUCCUCUCUGGUUCUGGGGUGCAUCACCCUAGAAUUGCC